rnacentral:rRNA from 1 species
CAGUAGCCGCGGUAAUACGGAGGGUGCAAGCGUUAAUCGGAAUUACUGGGCGUAAAGCGCACGCAGGCGGUUUGUUAAGUCAGAUGUGAAAUCCCCGAGCUUAACUUGGGAACUGCAUUUGAAACUGGCAAGCUAGAGUCUUGUAGAGGGGGGUAGAAUUCCAGGUGUAGCGGUGAAAUGCGUAGAGAUCUGGAGGAAUACCGGUGGCGAAGGCGGCCCCCUGGACAAAGACUGACGCUCAGGUGCGAAAGCGUGGGGAGCAAACAGGAUUAGAUACCCGUGUAGUCCCUGUCUCUUAUCC